rfam:Rasamsonia emersonii CBS 393.64 ctg1118621760073, whole genome shotgun sequence.
GUCUCCGUGGCGCAAUCGGCUAGCGCGUCUGACUGUUAAUUACAUAAUAAUUAGCAAUCAGGAGGUUGGCAGUUCGAGCCUGCCCGGGGACG